GACAGAGGGUGCAAACGUUGUUCGGAAUUACUGGGCGUAAAGCGCGUGUAGGCGGCUAAGUAAGUCGGGCGUGAAAUCCCACGGCUCAACCGUGGAAGUGCACUCGAAACUGCAUAGCUAGAGUCCUGGAGAGGAAGGUGGAAUGCUUGGUGUAGAUGUGAAAUUCGUAGAUAUCAAGCGGAACACCGGUGGCGAAGGCGGCCUUCUGGACAGUGACUGACGCUGAGACGCGAAAGCGUGGGGAGCAAACAGG
rnacentral:rRNA from 1 species